AGAAUGCAUGUGAUGACAACAUAGUUCAGCAGAAAAUCUGUGAUGAACAAUUAUGUCUUUCGCUCCUGUCUGAGGCAUCCU
rnacentral:snoRNA from 1 species